rnacentral:rRNA from 1 species
GGCAUCAUUAUGAUGGGUAGGGGAGCUUCCCAUACGGGUUGAAGCAUGACCGUAAGGACAUGUGGACAGUAUGGGAGUGAGAAUGUUGGCAUGAGUAGCGGGAUGUGGGUGAGAAUCCCACAGGCCGUAAACCCAAGGUUUCCAGGGGAAGGUUCGUCCGCCCUGGGUUAGUCGGGACCUAAGCUGAGGCCGAAAGGCGUAGGUGAUGGACAACAGGUUGA